rnacentral:rRNA from 1 species
CUCAGGACGAACGCUGGCGGCGUGCCUAAUACAUGCAAGUCGAGCGGACCACAAAGAAGCUUGCUUCUGAGUGGUUAGCGGCGGACGGGUGAGUAACACGUGGGCAACCUGCCCGUAAGACCGGGUUAACUUCGGGAAACCGGAGCUAAUACCGGAUAACCCCGAGGACCGCAUGGUCCUUGGUUGAAAGGCGGCUUUGGCUGUCACUUACGGAUGGGCCCGCGGCGCAUUAGCUAGUUGGUGAGGUAACGGCUCACCAAGGCGACGAUGCGUAGCCGACCUGAGAGGGUGAUCGGCCACACUGGGACUGAGACACGGCCCAGACUCCUACGGGAGGCAGCAGUAGGGAAUCUUCCGCAAUGGACGAAAGUCUGACGGAGCAACGCCGCGUGAGCGAAGAAGGUCUUCGGAUUGUAAAGCUCUGUUGUUAGGGAAGAACAAGUACCGUUCGAAUAGGGCGGUACCGUGACGGUACCUAACGAGAAAGCCACGGCUAACUACGUGCCAGCAGCCGCGGUAAUACGUAGGUGGCAAGCGUUGUCCGGAAUUAUUGGGCGUAAAGCGCGCGCAGGCGGUUCCUUAAGUCUGAUGUGAAAGCCCACGGCCAACCGUGGAGGGUCAUUGGAAACUGGGGAACUUGAGUGCAGAAGAGGAGAGCGGAAUCCCACGU